rnacentral:rRNA from 1 species
GGUUAAGCGACCAAGCGUACACGGUGGAUGCCUAGGCAGUCAGAGGCGAUGAAGGACGUGCUAAUCUGCGAUAAGCGCCGGUAAGGUGGUAUGAACCGUUAUAACCGGCGAUUUCCGAAUGGGGAAACCCAGUGUGACUCGUCACACUAUCGUUAAGUGAAUACAUAGCUUAACGAAGCGAACCAGGGGAACUGAAACAUCUAAGUACCCUGAGGAAAAGAAAUCAACCGAGAUUCCCCCAGUAGCGGCGAGCGAACGGGGAGCAGCCCAGAGUCUGAAUCAGCAUGUGUGUCAGUGGAAGCGUCUGGAAAGUCGCAGGGUACAGGGUGAUACUCCCGUACACGAAGAUACACCUGCUGUGAACUCGAAGAGUAGGGCGGGACACGUGGUAUCCUGUCUGAAUAUGGGGGGACCAUCCUCCAAGGCUAAAUACUCCUGACUGACCGAUAGUGAACCAGUACCGUG